GGUUCUUCGGUCCCUUUUGAGAAAUUAUAUGGUUCCCAUCUCUAAAAGCAAGCUACCAUUAUUUCUCUUUCUUUUUAUUUUCAUUUUACCGUUUCAGCCCACAACUUUUCCUUCACUGUAAUCCCAAAUCUGAGCUGAAUUGCAGUUCAAGUUUUUGAUCUUUCACGGUGGCUUUUUCUUUCUUCCAGUGGCGACUUCUGUUUCGCGCUUGGGAUUUCGUUUCUCCUCACAAGUCAAUUUCGGUUCCAAGCGAAUUUAAUCUAGUCGCCCACCGCCCGGAUUUCGAUUUUCCGAUCUUAUUUCUACUUCCGAGCUGGGUUCGAUUCUUAGUUCUUGUGGACAAUGGCGAAGCGUGGAUAUAAACUACAGGAAUUUGCAGCACACUCAGCAAAUGUCAACUGUCUAAGAAUUGGGAAAAAAGCUUGCCGACUGUUUAUAACUGGUGGAGAUGAUUAUAAAGUCAAUCUUUGGGCGAUUGGAAAAUCUAAUUCUUUGAUGAGUCUUUGUGGUCAUACUAAUCCAGUUGAAUCAGUAGCUUUUGAUUCAGCUGAAAUUUUGGUGCUUGCCGGAGCUUCAUCUGGUGCAAUAAAGUUGUGGGAUAUUGAAGAGGCUAAAAUGGUUCGCACUCUUUCUGGUCACAGAUCAAACUGCACGGCAGUUGAGUUUCAUCCGUUUGGCGAGUUCUUUGCAUCCGGUUCUAGAGACACUAAUCUAAAAAUAUGGGAUAUCAGAAAGAAAGGUUGUAUUCAUACAUACAAGGGGCACACUCAAGGCAUCAGUACUAUCAAGUUCACUCCAGAUGGUCGCUGGGUAGUCUCUGGUGGAUUUGAUAGUGCUGUGAAGGUAUGGGAUCUAACGGCUGGAAAGCUGAUGCAUGAUUUUAAGUUCCAUGAAGGGCCUAUUCGAUCCAUAGAUUUUCAUCCACUUGAGUUUCUUCUUGCGACAGGGUCAGCGGACAAAACUGUAAAAUUCUGGGAUUUGGAAACUUUUGAAUUGAUUGGAUCUACAAGACCUGAGGCUGCUGGAGUACGUGCAAUCACCUUCCAUCCAGAUGGGAGGACCCUGUUUUCUGGUCUGGAUGACAGUCUGAAGGUAUAUUCAUGGGAGCCUGUCAUUUGUCAUGAUUCUGUUGACAUGGGAUGGUCAACACUAGGUGACAUUUGCAUUCAUGAUGGGAAACUGUUGAGUUGCUCAUUUUAUCGAAACUCUGUUGGGGUUUGGGUAGCUGAUGUGGCGCAUAUUGAGCCUUAUGGAGCUAAUCCAAUAUCUGGGCAAAAGGAGCCAAAUGAUCAGAAAUCUAAUUCUGCUUUCAAGAACAGUCUAGGUUCAAAAAGCAUUGGAGCUGGUUUGAUGACUUCCAAUCUGCAAUCUAUGUCUCCUGAUUAUGAAACAAAGGAGAUAAAGAACAUUUACGUUGACACAACUGGUGGAAAGCCUGUUGCACCACAGAAGGAAGAAUCUUUAACCUCCCCAAAAGUUGUAUUUGCAUUGGAUUCAAAGAAGAUUAGCUAUGAUGCUAGCAAAGAGCAAAGUCCUGCAUCAAGAGUAGAAAUGAAAUCUAAUGAAGUAUCAAGAGACAAACCCCCAGUUGUACCUUGUGCUAGUCCUGAGGUUAAAGACUCGCCGAGCUCUGUAAGAGAAUCUAUCACAUUUUCCAAGACAAGGCGUGGAAUGUUACUCAGGCCGGCUCAUAUAAGAAAGCCAUCCAAUAGUAAAAUGGAUUUUGAAAAACUAUCAGUUGAUUCAAGUAGAAAAGCUGAUCUUGAGAGACUGCCAGUUGAAGAUUCUGUAAGCAUCUGUCAUACCACCAGUGAUUUGAAUAAAGCUCCAGAACCAAACUUGAAAACAAGUGUUCUAUCCGAAGAAACACAUAAAGAUUCUCAUAGAACAAAUUCUAAUAUCAUUAGUAUCGAGGAGAAGUUUGAAAAAAUCCCCUCUCCAUCCGCUGAGACAACUUCAGAACAAGAGAGCCGCAACAAAUCAGUUGAAAGUAGCAAAGGGACAAAUCCUGUUAAAUUUGUAAAUGGAGUUGCAGUUGUUUCUGGAAGGACGCGCAGUCUCGUUGAGAGGUUUGAAAGGAGAGAACGAACUAAUGAUGUACAGGCAACAAUUUCACCACCUUCUGUCCUUGAAUCAGAGAAAACAAGAGAACAAACUAAUAGCUUUGAAGCACAGGUGGUUACACCUCAGAUCCUUGAAACUGAGAAGACGCAUGAACAAACUAAUGACUGUAGAGUACAGGAAGUGGCCGUAUCUUCUCUUGUCUCUGAAACUGAGAAGACGCGUGAAGAAACAAAUAACUAUGAAGUACAGGCAGUGGCUAUUCCUUCACACAUCUCUGAAACUCAAAAGGCAAGAGAACAAAAUAAUGACUAUGAAGUACGAGUAAUGGUUCCUCCUCGUACCCCUGAAACUAGGAGGACGGCUCCGAACUAUGAAGGAAAAACAAGAAAUAACUAUGAAGCAAAAGCAAGAAAUAACUAUGAAGCCAAAACAACUCCUAUUCCUUCACGUGUCUCUAAAACAGAUAAAACCGACAAUUUUCAGAAGGGAGAACCUCAAAUUUCUGGAAGAGAUUCUACCUCUGCAAAUGAUAGGGAUGUCAUUGAAGACUUGAUGCAAUCUCAUGAUGUAUUCUUAAGUACCCUUCGAUCCCGCUUAACAAAAUUGCAGGUGAUACGACACUUUUGGGAGCGGAAUGACUUGAAAGGUGCCAUUAAUGCUAUGACAAAACUUCCAGAUCAUUCUGUGCAUGCAGAUGUGAUCAGCGUUCUCAUUGAGAAGAUGGAUGUCUUAACUCUAGAUUUAUUCUCUUGCCUACUUCCUGUACUCGUGGGUUUAUUGGAUAGCAAGAUAGAAAGGCAUGCCAGUUUGUCAAUGGAGAUUCUAUUGAAGCUUGUAGCAGUUUUUGGUCAUGUUAUAAGCUCAGCAGUAUCAGCACCUCCAGUAGUUGGUGUUGACCUUCAUGCAGAGCAGAGGGUACAAUGCUGCAAGCAAUGCUUCACCCACCUGCAAAAGAUUCAAAAAAUCCUUCCAUCAUUUGUAAGGAGAGGUGGUUCACUAGCCAGAAGUGCUCAGGAAUUGAAUUUAGUACUUCAACAAUGUUAAGUUUCGUUCACUAUGCCAAAUGUCAAGCAAACCACAAAUAAGUAGGUAGGCUGACACCCCUAAUAGAAAGAAUGUGGAGAUGCAACACCUUUACAAGUUGAAGCUACAAGUCACGUCCCACAAUUUUUCGUGGGUGCUUGCUUCCAGUUCCAGUUUCGUCAGUUGUAAAGUGACAUGUCGAGAUUUGUGGAGGACAACAUCGAAUCAGAAAGAAUAUUGACAGAAAACGUUCAACGACGAAUGGGAAAUCAAACGUUGGAAGCACUCCUCAUUUUGAUUCUUCAUAUUCCGGCAUUACCAGUGGCACAAAGGCAAUGAUUCUUCACAUUCUUGGGGGCAUUUGGCUCGCAGAUUUGAGAACUAGGUAUGUGUAACUUGUAUUUGAAUUGUAUAGGUAAAAUGUGGGGUUUAAACUUGUAAAAGCUAAUUAAAAACUAGUUAUUUUGAUGUAAACUAACAAA